GACGAACGCUGGCGGCGUGCUUAACACAUGCAAGUCGAACGGAAAGGCCCUGCUUUUGUGGGGUGCUCGAGUGGCGAACGGGUGAGUAACACGUGAGUAACCUGCCCUUGACUUUGGGAUAACUUCAGGAAACUGGGGCUAAUACCGGAUAGGAGCUCCUGCUGCAUGGUGGGGGUUGGAAAGUUUCGGCGGUUGGGGAUGGACUCGCGGCUUAUCAGCUUGUUGGUGGGGUAGUGGCUUACCAAGGCUUUGACGGGUAGCCGGCCUGAGAGGGUGACCGGCCACAUUGGGACUGAGAUACGGCCCAAACUCCUACGGGAGGCAGCAGUGGGGAAUAUUGCACAAUUGGCGGAAUCCUGAUGCAGCAACGCCGCGUGCGGGAUGACGGCCUUCGGGUUGUAACCCGCUUUCGCCUGUGACGAAGCGUGAGUGACGGUAAUGGGUAAAGAAGCACCGGCUAACUACGUG
rnacentral:rRNA from 1 species